rnacentral:rRNA from 1 species
AUUGAACGCUGGCGGCAGGCCUAACACAUGCAAGUCGAACGGUAGCACAGAAGAGCUUCCUCCUGGGGUCGCGAGUGGCGGACGGGUGAGUAAUGUCUGGGAAACCGCCCGAUGGAGGGGGAUAUCUACUGGAAACGGUAGCUAAUACCGCAUAAUGUCGCAAGACCAAAGUGGGGGACCUUCGGGCCUCACACCAUCGGAUGUGCCCAGAUGGGAUUGGCUAGUAGGUGGGGUAAUGGCUCACCUAGGCGACGAUCCCUAGCUGGUCUGAGAGGAUGACAAGCCACACUGGACCUGAGACACGGUCCGGACUCCUACGGGAGGCGGCAGUGGGGAAUAUUGCACAAUGGGCGCAAGCCUGAUGCAGCCAUGCCGCGUGUAUGAAGAAGGCCUUCGGGUUGUAAAGUACUUUCAGCGGGGAGGAAGGCGGUGAGGUUAAUAACCUUGCCGAUUGACGUUACCCGCAGAAGAAGCACCGGCUAACUCCGUGCCAGCCGCCGCAGUAA